rnacentral:lncRNA from 1 species
GGGCAUGAAGUCCGCAAGUAUGUCGUGUUAUUGAAAUCUGCAUUUAACAUAACUGAAAAAAGAAUAAAAAAGAAAAAUGACAAGAUUAAGAGAAGAGACAUUCCUGGACAAUGAAAUAUUAAUUUCAUUUUUCUUGAUUUUUGAUUUUUGAUUUUUCUUUUUAAGAUAGAAGAGUUUAUAUCAGAAAGUAAUAGAGUAAAACAUCUGGAUUACACACUGAGACAAUUCAGAUGCAGAAAGGAUAGCAAGACUUGCUACCGAGACUCCUGUCUGAUGAGGAACUUUCAAGCUUGGCAACCAUUUUUGGCAUUUCUUCUAUCUCGGCGAUGGCUGCAAUGUACUUCAGAGCCAGAUCAAAUUCCUCAUCUUCACAAAUCAUUUCGACAAUUGGCCCGAUGUUGUGUGCAGGCAAAAAGGUUGUUCAUCACAUCAGUAGCUUUUUCAUCACGGAAAAUGAUUCUUUCAGCUUCAAUUAGAUCCUCAAUUGCCCUUUUGAGGGCCCAACAAACCUUUGUACUGUGCCUCACUGCUCCAGAGUGGUAUUCACAUAUAGUGUCAGCUCAACGCUAUGGGGACUCGGGGUUUAGCGGAAUUUGGUCCACAGGUUGUGGCAGACCUCGCCCGACUAGCUUUUGGAACAAAUCUGAAUAUGAUUCACUAAUAAGAGUGAGCUGAUUCUUUUGAAAGGCUCUCUCGGGCGAGGAUUGUACUGGGAAUAUUUGAUUGGGGAUUUAUGGAGCUAGGUAAGGAUGGACUUUUUCGGGAGGUGGAGCUUGACUUUGUGUAUAAUAUUGUGGCCGCGUGCAAAGUUGCGCGUUCAUCACGACAUACCAUCAAAACCAACCACCUGAACAAAACCUGGCUAAUUUACUCACACAACAACCUUGUGAGUUUUGGGACAUUUAACAUACAAGAAAUCGCAUGUUGGGAUGCAAUGCACCUAAUAGUUAUGCUUCUACUGUGUGUCUAAACGGUUGCAUGUUUCAUCCCGGCCUUAACUAACUCUUUCAGUAUGGACCUUUUUUUCUCUUUGUUUCUCUCCAAUCAUUCUUGAUUUUUUUUGUCUUGCCACUUUUUUAUUUUUGGAGCUCUCUUUUUCUUCUUUUUCUUUUUUUUUUGUUAAUAUUUUUUUUAAAAUUUUUGUCAAUCUCUUUUCAUUUUUCACUCAAUUUUCUUUCUCUUUUUUUUCAGUUUAUUUUUCACUCAGUUUAUUUUGUGGUUAUGAUCGAAUCUGCUAGGGAUUGCCUACGUAUCAUGACAUCGCAUGAAUCAGAUCUUGCGUAGUUCGGGAGAUUGGGAUUGGAAUAAGUAAACUAACUCUUCUUUUUAGGAAUUUUUUUUUUAAAAAAAUGCUUUAAAAGAAUAAAGGAAAUUUGUUUUUGAUUUUUUUUUUCUUUUUUUGGAAUUUUCGAACAAAAUGCUGUAAAAGAAGAACAAUUUUUUUUUUUGGUUUUUGAAUUUGACUCUAUUUUUAUUUUUUUGAAAGAAAGACUUCUAAAAAAAGAAAAAAUUCUUUUCUUUUGAUUGGAACUUUGGGAAUUUUAGAAGUAAAAAGAAAAUAUUUUUUGUUUGAAUUUUUGUUUGUUUUAUUUUUUUUUUAAGGAGAAAAGAAAAUAUUUUUGAAUUUUGUAUGUUACCUCUUAAUUUUGAAAGAGGAACUUUUUUAGAAAAUAUUUUGAAUUUAUGAGUUUUUACUUAUUUACAAAAGUAGUUCAUAAAGAAAAGCAAAAAUAUUUUUAGACUUUUCAAAUUUUUUAUGGAAAUUAACAAAAGAAAGAUUUCUAAAGAAAAAAAAAGUAUUUUUGGAUUUUUAUUUUCUAAUUUUUAUGGAUUUUUUUUUUUUGGAAAAAAUACUUCAAAAUGAAGGAAACUGGUUUCGAUUUUGGUCUGUUUUUUAUUCCUUAUCUUUCUGACUUUUAGAAAACGUUUUUUUUUUCUCUAAGGAAAGAUUUCUAAGAAGGAAGUAAUGGAAAAUAUUUUUGAUUUUUUGAAAGUUGGGGUCGGAAGCGAUGAGGUUUGCCUACGUAUCUCACAUCCGGUGAGAAUCAGACCCGCGUAGUUCGGUCCGAUAAAACUAACUAUUUUCGACGACAAGACGCUUUUUCACUAUUUCAAAAAAUAAAACUCUUUUUGUAUUUUCCUUUUCAACAAACUAUUUGAAAAUAAAACUUUUUUUUGACCAAUAAACAAACCAUUUUUCUUUCAAAAAUUUGAUAGAGUUUCAAUACUAUUUUGACAUUAUUUAUUUCUAAAACGGAUAAUUAACUCUCCGCACUGCUAUUUCUCUCUCUUUUUUUAAUUUUCCAAAUACUUCAAAUAAGCAUGCAAGUACGAAACAAAUAUAUGCACGGAAAAGAAGUAGGAUGCAUCAGGAUGGUCUUUUCAUUUCAGGUUGCUAGUCCUAGACGGACUCAACCCCUGUGUUGAGUCCCCUAAGUCAAAUGCAACAUGAUGCACAUAAGCGUUCCUACUAGGAAUCCGACAUGAAGUCACGUUUCUCUAGGUUCUCAAAUUCUGAAGGAGAUGGCGUCUAGACCUGGCUUACCCGGGCAGAAAACCCGAGCUGAGGAGCAUCAAGUGUCACCAGUAGUAGAACAACACUGGCUAGCUAACAGCUUUCCCGCCUAAAUAUGUGUGAUUAAAUCCUUCACCAGAAGCUGGUAGGCUAACUGGCUUUAUCUCAAGACAGAAGUUUUGUGAUGCUUGUAGGCAAACACAACAUAACUACCUAUUUCUACUAGGGAUCCGGCAUGAAGUCACAUUUUUCUAGGUUCUCAAAUUCUGAAAGAGAUGGCAUCUAGACCUAGAUUACCGGGGCGGACAACCUAAGCCGAGGAGCGUCAAGCGUCACCAGUAAUAGAACAACACUGGCUAGCUAACUGCUCUCCUGCCUAAAUAUGUGUGACUAAAUCCUUCACCAAAAGCUGGUAGGCUAACUGGCUUUAUCUCAAGACAGAAGUUUUGUGAUGUUGGUAGGCAAACACAACAUAACUGCCUAUUAGAAGACUCAGAGGGAAAAUGAGUUUCGUAACAAUUCAUAUGUGCAAUUCACCUAAUAUCAAAGCGGUAAGCAUUUAGCACAUUUAGCAUGAAACAUAUAGGAAAAUUAGAUAAUUCCAAAUAUAAAAAUUUAUUCUAAGCUCAAAUUCUUAAACCCUGACUGAGGUUCUGGGUUUGUGUCAUCGGCAGAGUCGCCAGAGAUGUCACACCUCCUUUUUGCGCGCCUACCCCGGAGGAUAAGAUGCACAAGGGAGUUUUUCCAAUUUAAGUGACAAUAUUCGAAAUGAGGUUAUUUAUUUAUUUCAGAGCCGCCACUUGGAAAAGGUUUGACUUUUGGUGUCCCAAGUCAUCGGUUUAUCUCUAAGCCCAAAUCGAGGAAAUUUUCGACUUUCCAAAUGAAGUCUGCUAACCAGAAAUUCUAAGUAAGGAAUUCUGUUGACCCGAGGGAAUGUGUUAGGCACCCCUCGAAUCCCGGGGUUCUAGCACGAUCGCAUAAAUUGUUGUAAUGGUUAAAUAUCUGAUUUUAAUACAUGUUCAAUACUAUAGUGCAAUUUUAAAUCUUUUACCGUUUUGGUUAAUUUUAAAGAAAGUGAGCAUUGUUAUUGAAGGCCCCGCAAUUCGCAUUUUAUUUAGCAAGGCUCUUCUUAGUUUAUUAUUUAAAAGGAAAAACCUAAAGUAAACUACAAAUAUUCUUGAAUUAUUAUUAAUCCUAAAUUAGAUAACCAAAUGGACAAAACAGCCAACUAUUGUAUUAAUCUUCUUUCUCUCCCUUUGAACUAAAAGCAGCAGUAGCGACAUCAAUUAGGUAACUAAUUCAAUAUGACUAUUUUCCUUUUUUCUUCUAGGCAUCAUAUAAAUGUACAUCCUACAUGUGAAUUACUAUAAUAAAUACUAAUUUAUAAUGAAUACUAACAUUUUUGGAAUCACAAACAUAAAUACAUAUAAAACAACACUCAUCUUAGCAAAAUACAACAUAAUAUCAAAAUGCUAGGAUUAGAGAAAAUGAACCUGUAGUUUAUACGGAUUGAAUGAACCAACGAUUACAACCAUACAUCAACACAAAUUCAAGCAAACAUUUACAGUGACGUCGAGUUUCAAAAGCUCGAACUCGCCAAACCGUACAUCAACACAAAUUCAAGCAAACAUUUACAGUGACGUCGAGUUUCAAAAGCUCGAACUCGCCAGAAAAAUGGUCAGCGACCACCUCGACGGAACUCGAACCUGCACCCUCGACGGAACUCGAUGUAUGGUUUGUCGUCGUCACUGGUUUUUUGCUAGAGGUCGUUUUUUUGGUUUCUCCUUUUCGUUCUGUAUAUCUCUUGUAUGCCGAAUGUAUACCGUAUAUCCAGUGUAUGCAGAGGGUAUACUGCCCCCUCUUAAGCUCUAGACGCUAAUUUUUUAUGCUCUCUUUCUCUGCCCUUCGGUGAUGGAUUUGACGGGAUUUUGUGGCUAUUUUUGGGAUCCGAAAAUGGAGUUCAUGGCUGUCACCUUUCUUGCUUUUUCAUCCCCUUUUUUGUGUUGUUUAUGUGUGUAUGUGGAGUGUGAGUUGUAAAGUGUAGAGAGUAUGUGUUCGAAUGUGCUAGCAUGUGUUGGCAUGUGUUGGCGU